AAAGCUCUGUUGUUGGUGAAGAAGGAUAGAGGCAGUAACUGGUCUUUAUUUGACGGUAAUCAACCAGAAAGUCACGGCUAACUACGUGCCAGCAGCCGCGGUAAUACAUAGGUGGCAAGCGUUGUCCGGAUUUAUUGGGCGUAAAGCGAGCGCAGGCGGAAUGAUAAGUCUGAUGUGAAAGCCCACGGCUCAACCGUGGAACUGCAUCGGAAACUGUCAUUCUUGAGUGCAGAAGAGGAGAGUGGAACUCCAUGUGUAGCGGUGGAAUGCGUAGAUAUAUGGAAGAACACCAGUGGCGAAGGCGGCUCUCUGGUCUGCAACUGACGCUGAGGCUCGAAAGCAUGGGUAGCGAACAGGAUUAGAUACCCUGGUAGUCCAUGCCGUAAACGAUGAGCGCUAGGUGUUGGGGACUUUCCGGUCCUCAGUGCCGCAGCAAACGCAUUAAGCGCUCCGCCUGGGGAGUACGACCGCAAGGUUGAAACUCAAAGG
rnacentral:rRNA from 1 species